rnacentral:rRNA from 1 species
AAUAGUGGGGAACAACUCGGGGAAACUCGGGCUAAUACCGCAUAAUCUCUUCGGAGGAAAGGGGGCCUCUACAUGUAAGCUCUCGCUAAUAGAUGAGCCCAAGUCAGAUUAGCUUGUUGGUAAGGUAACGGCUUACCAAGGCUACGAUCUGUAGCUGGAUCUGAGAGGAUGAUCAGCCACACUGGGACUGAGACACGGCCCCCGACUCCUACGGGAGGCAGCAGUGGGGAAUAUUGCACAAUGGGCGAAAGCCUGAUGCAGCAAUGCCGCGUGUGUGAAGAAGGCUCUAGGGUUGUAAAGCACUUUCAAUAAGGAAGAAAAGCAUAUGGUUAAUAACCUUAUGUAUUGACGUAACUUAUACAAGAAGCACCGGCUAAUUCCGUGCCAGCAGCCGCGGUAAUACGGAAGGUGCAAGCGUUAAUCGGAAUUACUGGGCGUAAAGCGCGCGUAGGCUGUUAUUUAAGUCGGAUGUGAAAUCCUCGGGCUCAACCUGGGAACUGCAUCCGAAACUGAAUAACUAGAGUAUGGGAGAGGUAAGUAGAAUUUCCGGUGUAGCGGUGAAAUGCGUAGAUAUCGGAAGGAAUACCAGUGGCGAAGGCGGCUUACUGGACCAAUACUGACGCUGAGGUGCGAAAGCGUGGGGAGCGAACAGGAUUAGAUACCCUGGUAGUCCCACGCCGUAAAACGAUGAGAACUAGAUGUUGGGGAGGGGUUAGCCCUCCUCAAUGUCGCAGGCUAAACGCAUUAAGUUUCUCCGCCUGGGGGAGUACGACCGGCAAGGGUUGAAACUCAAAGGAAAUUGACGGGGGACCCGCACAAGCG